AGAAGCCCCAAUAAAACUCCAGCCCAAGAGCAUAGAAGGCUAAAACAGGACCCCAUGGAUGACAAUUAAGACCAAAGCCAAGGCGAGCUAAAAGAAAUUGGGGAGGCUAGCAAGCCCUUGGCUUCUCUUAAAGCCUUUAUGGAAUGAAAGGUCAAAGAUCAACAUUGAAGAGUCCUUGAGUUACCACACCUCAAAGAGCCAUUAGAUUCUUCCUAUAAUAACACAUAAACAACUAACACAA
rnacentral:misc_RNA from 1 species